UACGUAGGGUGCGAGCGUUGUCCGGAAUUAUUGGGCGUAAAGAGCUCGUAGGCGGUGUGUCGCGUCGGCCGUGAAAACCUGCAGCUUAACUGUGGGCUUGCGGUCGAUACGGGCAUCACUGGAGUUCGGCAGGGGAGACUGGAAUUCCUGGUGUAGCGGUGAAAUGCGCAGAUAUCGGAAGGAACAUCAGUGGCGAAAGCGACUUCCUGGACCAGUACCGACGUUCAGGCACGAAAGCUAGGGGAGCAAACAGG
rnacentral:rRNA from 1 species